rnacentral:lncRNA from 1 species
CAUCCUUUGAUGGACAUUUGGAAUUUUUCCACCUUGGGCCUAUUAUGGAUAAUGCUGUUAGGAACAUUCAACUGCAAGCUUUUGUGUGACACACGUUUUUAAUUCUCUUGGGUAAACACAUAGGAAUGGAAUCACUGGGUCAUGGAGUAAAGCCAUGUGAAACCACCAGUUUUCCAAAGAGUUCAGCGCAUACUCACGAGGCUCUCAAUCCUCCCACACCGAGCCCUGCGAAUUGCAGAUCCUGGAGCUCGUCUUGGUGGGAAUACACUGCCCGAGGCCUCAGCAAACGGACGGUGCUGAAGUGGAUCUGGUGCCCAAAGCCCCUGCCAAGGAGGGGCAGCUGGAUCCAGUGGCUCCUGGACUCUCCAGUGUCCUGCCCAGGUAUGAGGGAUGGGGCAGGUGUGGCAUUGGGUGGGGAAAACUGAAGUGGGGCCUUUCCUUUGAGUUCAGCCUUCACCUCCUGCUCCCAAGUGCAGCUGAGAUGGGUAAGACUGAGGAGAUUUUACACAAAUGAUGUUAUAGCUGUGGCUGGGUGAGGCGACGGUGGUGCUGUUUGCCUCUUUAGGCAACUGCUUCAGCUCUGGGUUUGGUGGCUGUCCAGCAUGGUGCCUGCGGCCGUAGUCAGGGCAGACUUGGUGACUUUGGGCAGGUCAUUCAUUUACCUGGGCCUCAGUCUCCACAUCUGCCCAAUAGGAAUGAUAAUAAUCCCUGUUCCCUGGACGGGGUGAAGAUACGAGGAAUUCAGGGGCUUGGAGGUGCUUUGUAACAUGCUAUCUCUGUACGUUAAUUAAGAUGUUUAGGACUUACCUGGUGGAUAAGAAUCUGCCUGCUAAUGCAGGGGACAUGGGUUUGAUCCCAGGUCUGGUAAGAUUCCACAUGGCAAAUAGCAACUAGGCUCUUGUGCCCCAACUACUGAGCCCACAUUCUGCAAGUACUGAAGCCUGGGCCUAGAGUCUGUGCUCGUAACAAAAGAAGCCAUCACAACAAGAAACCCAUGCAAAACAAUGAAGAGUAGCUCUUGCUCGCUGCAACUAGAGAAAGCCCUCUCGCAGCAAAGAAGACCUAGUGCAACCAAAAGUAAAUAAAUAAACACUCAGUCAGUUCA